rnacentral:rRNA from 1 species
UGGGUAAGGCUCCCAGGAGAUGACUGGGUUGAUAGGCCGGAGAUGGAAGCCCUGUGAGGGGUUGUGAGUUGACCGGUACUAAUAGGCCGAGGGCUUGCCAUG